rnacentral:lncRNA from 1 species
CCAUUAAUUGACUUUUAUCAUUACUCAAAAUGAAGGGGGCUAUUAAUUAUUUCAGCAGGCAGCCAUUCCUCCACAGCAACCUCAGCAAAGCCAAGGCAAGGAGCUGGCAGCCAGCACAGCCCUCAGGGUUGAUGCUGAGGCUGGGGUCUGCAGGCCGGCCUGGGUUGUAGGGAGCAGCCCCGUCCCUGCUGAGCACCCCCAGGCUCCGCCUGUCUUCUGCAUGGAGUGGGAGGGCAGUAUUUCCAUCGUGUCUGUGUGCCACUCCUCUAUACAGCUUUGAAUGGCGCUUUACAAAAUAGGUAAUGAUGUCUCAUUGCUCUGGAGAGUUCCCAAACUAAAUUAAGGAGAGAAGAAUGGGAAGAGAUGACCAUCCAAUGAGGUGCAGGUGCUGGGGAGCGGGAUAAGGAGGGGGAGGGCAAUGUGAUUAUGUCCUUUCAAAGCAAAUGCCUCAGGGCAGCCACUUUUGGGGACAGUGUAAAAGGGAGAUGGAGAAAGGCGUGACUCAUAGAGACAGCAUCUGCGCAGGGUUGCUCCUGAGAGCAGAACGCUUCUCUCAGACCUGUUCAAGGAGACAGAUGCUCGGUAGCUCCCUGUGACUUAGCACUACUAACCCCUUCCUCCUCCCUUCCCAAAGGGGUCCUGUGGAAGAAAAAGCUGAGAAGUGCUGGAGGAGGGGUUCCUGAUGGGUGACUUCAGAGGGCCUCUGGGAAAGGAAAGGUGGCGGAGCAGCUGGGAUGGCCGCAGGAGUUAACAGGAGAGCAGAGUUGAAGGUCUCCCUAAUUCCAGGCCGGACCCUGUUGCAGAAGGAAGAUUACCCAAAAGUACUGAUCUCUUCACUGAUAGGUACAGCAGAAGGACGGCCAUUUGCUUAUACUGAAAAGGGCGUUACGGAAAC